rnacentral:lncRNA from 11 species
AUGGACAGGGUGACUGGGGGUGGGAGAGAAAAGAAUGCCUUGUAUAGAUGCCAUCUCUCCCAUCUUGCAGCUUUUUUCCUGCUGAGGAAGAAAGCUAGUUUCCUAGGAGACUGGCAGCUCCCUGUAGUGGGGUGUUGGUGUAUUCAGCAGCAGAGUAGCAAAGCACAAGGGAAGACAGAAGACUGGGUGACUUGGAAGGUGCUGAACAGACUGCACUCUGGCACCAUAAGAUGCAGAGCCAACCUUAAGAAAGUGGAGUCCACGGCAUGCGAGUGCAGAGAAGAACAAAUCACAGACCACUUACAAUGCAGUCUGAGCACCACCACAUGCACAAUGGAGGACCUUCUUACAGCGACACUAGAGGCAGUCCAAGUGGCCAGCAUUGAUCAAAGGACAUUUAGUAUAAUGUCAAGUUUUUAACUUUGUUUGUGGUUUUAUUUUUCAUUUAAAAUUGAUUGUUUACUUCAUCUUUUAAUUUUGAAUUAUAUUUAUUAGAAGGUUAACAUAUAUUCAUAUAUAUGUUCAAAGCAAAUUAGAAGAUCUAUAGGUAAACCAGUGGGUUAUAAAUUGGGCAUAGUAAGAAAUGAAUGCAUGAAUAUAGCCACUUUGGGUACCAACCCUGGUGGUGGUGGUGAUGAUGAUGAUGAUGUUCAGGUGAGGGAGAAAAGAAGAGCUUAAUAAACAGGGCAUCUUCCAAUCUGGUCCUUACAAUACAUAUCUCAUUUGUUUCUUAAUCUUAUAUGUAUGCAUGUAAAUGCCUUGUAGAAGAGAAAAUGGUAUAGCUAUCUGUACACUCUGCUCCCCUGGAUGGCAGCUUACCAAUGACCAAAGAAAACAGAAGAAAAUGAAAUGCAUCAUUAAUAUCAAAGACGAUGGAUUUGCAUAUGAUGUGUGCAUGACAAUUAAAUGAAUGGAUGUCAACUCAGAAAUAUAAACAUCAUAGAAGAAAGUGGAGAAAUUUGGUAUCAUGUGAUUUGUGUAUAUAUGUGCUUGCUAUCCAAGUCUGUUAUUCAUCUGCUAAUUGUGGGCUGGCCCUGGAGCGCUAAGCUGCACUUGGACUGAAUAGACCUUCA